CACUCCUCCACUGAAACCAACUGUAACCGUAACAAGUUGUUAAAAUCGCGAGUUAACUCGUAAAAUUACUGUAACCUUUGCAAAUGUUGUCUCUGGCAGGGUUCUGUAAGGGUUUUGCUAUCUCCCUCUCUCCCACCCUACCUCUCACCGCAAGACAAGGCUACAUCUCUGCUUGUUCAACAGUUAACCUCAAUACAAGUCAAUUAAGCUAGCUUUCUUUUUUUCUAUCUUUUUCUUUGAAAGAUGUUAUCUUGACUUCUAUUUUCAAGAUUUUUUGUAUCAAUGACUUGUAUUUUCCACGUGGGUGUCGUCGAUAAAGCUUAUUUUUUGUAUCAAUGUUACUUUUGUAGUCUUUCAGCCCUGGCUCCAUUGAAUCCUCACUUUGUCAAGCUCUGUCACAGAAGAGCAAACAGUAAAAACCCAUCGCCAAAACCACUUAACUACUAGCUAUUCCUUAGAGGUAGACAGAGUCAAGGUUGUUGAAGCUUUGAACAGUUUGAGAAAAAAACCCUUUGCUGCUUUUUCACUGUUCAAGGAGUUAAAAGAAAGGGGUUUUCUCACAAUGUUUAUUCACAAGUUUCCAUUGUUAGAAUCUUGUGUCGUCGGGGUAUGGAUAGGAAAUUGGAUUCUGUAUUGCUGGAACUUAUUAGGAAAGGGAGAGGUUUGGAUUUUGAAAUUGUGGAUUUUUUUCUGAGCUCUGGUUGAUGGGGUUGAGAGUGAGUGUUGAAAUCUUCUCGUUCGAGUGUCGGAUGCAUUGGUUAAGGUUUAUGUUAAGGUUGGGAUGUUUGACGAGGCUAUUGAUGUUCUUUUUCAAAAUAGUAAGGUCCGUGGAUUCGUUCCACGGAUAUGGUCAUGUUACUGUCUCACGAACCUGUUGAUUGAGUGUAGGAUAGUGGAGAUGGUUGUCGCCACUUAUCAGCAUUUACAGAGCAUUGAUUCGAGCCCAAAUGAUUAUACAUAUACCCUUGCUAUCGAGGCAUUUUGUGUGAGAGGCGGUUCGGAGGAAGCGGUUGAUGUCUUUUGGGAGAUACAGGAACCUGGAGUGACUCCAAAUGCUUUUGCUCACACAACAUAUAUUGAAGGUCUUUGCACGCAUCAGGGGUCAGAUCCAGGCUGUAAGAUGCUCCAGGGACUGACAAGAGUGAAGAUUCCAAUAGACGUUUAUGUUUAUACAGCUGUGAUUUGUGGCUUCUGUAAUGAAAUGAAAUUGAAAAGGCAGAGAGUGUCUUGCUUGACAUGGAAAAACAAGGCUUUGUAACAGAUGUGUAUAUCUAUGGUGCAUUGAUGUACGGAAUUUCCAAGGCCAGGGAUUUACAUAAAAUGCUGUCUCUUCAUGGUGAAAUGGAGUAAAAAAGCAUCAAAACAAACUGUGUGAUUCUGAGCUCAAUUCUUCAAGGAUUGCUUUGUAUGGUUGAGGCUUCUGAAAUGGUGAGUCAAUUUAAUAGAUUCAAGGAGACGGGAAUAAAACUUGACGAAGCUUGCUAUAAUAUAGUCAUGAAUGCUUUGUGCAAACUGGGAGAAAUGGACGGAGCUGUGGCAUUGCUCAUUGAGAUGAAGGGUAGGCGGACGAUUCCUGACAUUGUCAGCUACACAACUUUGAUUCACGGUUACUGCCUUGAAGGUAAACUUAAUGAUGCCUUAAGUUUAUUUCAUGAAAUGAAAAUGAAUGGACGUAAGCCUGAUGUUGUUACUUAUAACGUUCUAGUUGGUGGAUUUUCUAGAAACGGCGUUGUAUAAAAGGUGUGUAGCCUUUUGAAUGACAUGGAGACUUGGGGUUUGAAACCUAACACUGUCACACACAAUACAAUCAUUUAAGGCUUAUGUAUAGGGGGUAAGGUGGAGGAUGCUGAAGCUUUUUUUGAUAAUCUGGAAGAGAAGUGCUUGGGAAAUUACAGUGCCAUGGUCAGUGGUUACUGUGAGGCAAACCAUACAGACAAGGCCUUCAACUAUUUGUCAGGCUGUCCAAACAAGGAUUUGUAGUGAACACAGAUUCCUGCUUAAAACUACUCUGUAAUCCCUGCAAAAAAAGAUGUUAAAAAGAUGAUAUCGAGAAAGCUCUCUUCUUGUUCAACACAAUGUUGGCCAUGGAUGUAAGUCCUAGCAAAAUCAUGUAUAGUAAAGUAUAGGCAUGUUUUGCCAUGCAGGAGAAAUGGGAAAGGCCCAGUAUGUUUUUGAUGUUGCGAUCACCAGAGGGAUAACUCUUGAUUUGUUUACUUACACACUGAUGAUAAAUAGUUAUUGCAGGGAAAAUCAUUUGAGGGAGGCCUGUGAUCUUUUGAACGAUAUGAAGAAAAGAGGGAUUGAACCUGAUGCUGUCACAUAUACUGUUUUUAUUGAUGGUUGUUCAAAAAUAAAGGACACUUUAGCUUUUUGGAGAGAUAUGAAGGAGGGAUGUGGAUGUAGAGCCUGAUGUCAUUUGUCACACUGUUCUGAUUGACAAGCACUUUAAAAUGAACAACAUUCAGGAUGCUACGAGCCUUUUUAAAGAAUAUGUUGAUAGAGUACUGAAACCCGAUACCAUGACAUACACAGCUCUUUUGUCUGGAUACUGUAAAACGAAUAACAUUCAGUAUGGGAGGUAUAGAUAUGGCUACAACCCUUGUUAACGGAAUGAAAGAUAAGAGGAUACAGCCAGAUGGCCAUGCAAAGUCCACUACACGUCAUCUGAUUACCAGAAAACUGAAGUUUCAGUGACGAGCAUCUUGGCAGCUGUCGGUGGACAGAUUAACCAACUCUGUGUCUCGUACAGUGUUCCAAGGCAUGAAGGAGGUAUGAUUCACCACCAGUUAGACCAUUUGUUCUCAGGUAAAAACUGUUGUGCACUUCAUACUUUUUAUAAUCAGUUCCAACUUUUGCAAUGACCGUAAAAGUUACUGGUUUUCUUUUGUGUGUUCUUUUUUUAAUGAAUAUAGAUAUAAAUGUUGAAAGAAAUGUAGAUUUCUUAAACAAUGCAUAAACAUAAAAUUAAAAAGGAAAAUUCUACAGAAUGCAUUUGACCAAAACAAAGUUCCUGGUUUUCUCCAUGAACCCUGCAGAAAAAAAAAGGUUGGUUUCCACUGAUGUGAAAUUUCAAUUUUUGAAUUUGUUGCUCAACAAUUUGCACAAACAUGCAGAUUUGAACCCAAGACAGGUAUAUUGUAAAGGGUGGUUUUGUUUGGGAUUUAGGUGUGAUUGUUAUUGAUUUAUGGAUAUUCUGAUGAUUGAGGAAUUGAAACGAGGUGAGGUGGAGAGAGGAGGAGUUGUGUUUAGUCUCUGCUUUAAGCAGGAUAGUGAGAGUGGUAGUGGGUACUGUGUUGUACAUAGAGGGUUUUUGUUGGAGCAGGAGCUUGAGCUUUAUUUCACAUGCUCGACUUUGCUUUAUAAUGGAACAAGGCACAGGCCAGGUUUUGCUGGUGUGAUAGGGCCCACGAGCUAAUGUUACGUGCUCUGUUCAUUAUGUUUCUGCCCCUCUAGUUUUAUUUGGCAUGCGUUUUUCUCUGAAAUUUUGCGAGAUGUGGCAUGUGCAAAUGAUGUGCAGGUUGGAUUUUCACUUUGUGUGGUAAUUGUUCUUGUUUGAGGUGUUUGAAUUUUUUUGACCUUUGUUUAUGCAUGUUACAGGCCUGUGGAUGAAUUUGUCUUAUUUGCUAUAUAUUUUCAAGUGAAUCAGGUUGUUGUAAAAUCUGUCUGUGUGGUUUGAGCUAAGAAGAACUUGUAAUGAGCGAUUGUACAUGUAAUAAUAUGUUGAAAAGGGGAAUGGGAAAGCUUCGAAGUCAGGUUUUGUUGCUGCCAUUUAUAUAGAAGGACCCUGACAUUAAUACAAAAAUCAGCUCCUGGAUUCGUUUUUAAUUAUUUUUUUGGGAUAAAGGAAGAAUUUGUUUCUUUUAACCUUAUUUAAAUUUUAUUUUAUUUAAGCAAACUUUAAUAACAUAAGAGAUGUUUUUUUUUUCCAUGAUUAACUCAAGUAGAACUUUAAAUGGGACAGUAUUCAUGAUAAGUGCCGUGUUUUGGAGUUAUAUUCGUAUUGAAUAGUUUUCCUUGUAUUUUGCUGUAGCUCUAAACCAUUUGUGAUCAUGGUUCAUCAAACUUGGAUCGGUAUGUCUUGCCUGCUCUGAUUUUUGCCAGCCAAUCGAUGCCCUUUUAAUUUCUAGUCCAUUAAAAACUUAAUACCACUGAUGCUUGUGAAAUGCACUGAGAUAUUGGCUUCAAUUUGAUGAAAGCCACACAAACCCAAAACUUAUAUGAUUAUUCUACAAGGUCAAGGUGUGUCUUGACUCUUGGCUGCUCAGCUCUUUUGCACGGUUAUUUGGGCCUUGCUUAGUUAUCCAGUUCAUCAUGUGAAGUCUAGACCAUACAAACAUAGUAGUGUUUGGUUUUGAGGGAAGAGGGGACAAGUAAGAGGAAGUGAAGAGACAACAAUGUAAUUUUCCUUUGGUGUGGUGUUGAAUGUAGAAUGUUAUUUGUGUUCUGUGAAUAUAUGGGAAGCACCACGUAGUUUACAUGGAGUCAAAAUUUUGAUUGUUGUGAUUCUGAUGUUUCAUAUGUUCUUGUUAUGAAGAGAAUGGAUCACAUCAUCGAACUACAUAUGUUUAAUGUUUACUAGAAAGCAGAUCCGGGGUUGCAGCACAACCAUUGUGUAAUGUUCCCUGAUGCAACAUAAACAGAUGGCACCUGAUCCUGGAUAUGCUUAUAUGAGGUUAAUCCUACCAAGGAUACCUCUAGCAUCUUCUCAGUGGCUGGUGUUCUCUUGUCAAGGUUUCUGAUAUUAUUUGAGCUCACUUUCACUGCAAUUUAGUUUAAAAAGUUCAUGAAUUUGCUGGUGUGAAUUGUAGUUGCCUUGCGUGGAUGUUAAACAUCAUGCAACCUAGCACAAAAGAUUUGGCUGUUCAGGAAUAUUUUCAUAAAAGCUAGUGGUAUCAAUAUGGACAUGAAUGAUCUCCUUUUGAAGGCCCGCAGUUAUGCAGGAUCUGAUGCCUUUAGAUGAUGGCAUUAUAGUAGUUGUUACAGAGUGGAUACCGAUGAUAUGAUCCGAGUCUUGAAUCAGGCAGGAUCUGUGGGAAGUUAGAUGUGGGCUGAUGCUAGUGUAGUCUCUGCUUUUCACAAGUUGCUAGUCAGGCAGCUCCUCCGAGACUUUCCUAUCCGCAGCCCCGCUACUCUACCAACCAAAGAUUUUGGGGAGCAAUUAAGUAGGUACAGCAGCUGCUCAAUCUCUCGUGGAUCAUUUGAGAGGGAGCAGUGUCAGGACCACCAUGUAUAUUGAAGGCCAGCCAAAUUGCCAUUUAGUUCGACAAGAUCCUUUCUUAUUGCUCCUGUUCUUAACUUCGUUUUCUUAUGUAAAGUGAAAAAUAAGGCAGAAGAAACUUGAUUCUUUUAUACCCUUUGAAAACUGAAUAGCAAAGGUAAUGACAAAAUUCAAGAAACCUGAGCGCAUCAUGAUCAAUCAAAUGAUGGUGCAUUUCUGGGGAGAAUAUGGCUUGGUUUGCUCAUGUUCCAUGUCUUUGUGCAAGGCAAAGUACUGUGGAUGAGCUGUAUAUAGAUGGAAGGCUUGAACUUUUCACUUGGACAUUGUAUUAACAAUUAUCUGAAAUUUACCCCAUGACUGGAUGUUGUUCAA